rnacentral:rRNA from 1 species
UACGGAGGAUCCGAGCGUUAUCCGGAUUUAUUGGGUUUAAAGGGUGCGCAGGCGGAAGUAUUAAGUCGGUGGUGAAAUUUUUGCAGCUCAACUGUAAAAGUGCCAUUGAUACGUGGUUUUCUUGAGUUGUGGAUGAAGUAGGCGGAAUUUGUGGUGUAGCGGUGAAAUGCAUAGAUAUCACGAGGAACUCCGAUUGCGCAGGCAGCUUACUAAACCAUAACUGACGCUCAGGCACGAAGGCGUGGGGAUCGAAACAGGAUUAGGAUA